UACGGAGGGUGCGAGCGUUGUCCGGAAUUACUGGGCGUAAAGCGCACGUAGGCGGCUUUGCAAGUUAGAGGUGAAAGCCCGGGGCUCAACUCCGGAAUUGCCUUUAAAACUGCAUCGCUAGAAUUGUGGAGAGGUAAGUGGAAUUCCGAGUGUAGAGGUGAGAUUCGUAGAUAUUCGGAAGAACACCAGUGGCGAAGGCGACUUACUGGACACAUAUUGACGCUGAGGUGCGAAAGCGUGGGGAGCAAACAGG
rnacentral:rRNA from 1 species